rnacentral:rRNA from 1 species
CGCCUGGUUUAUACUACGUUGAAUACACUGGUUCUCAUUCGAUCACUGAAGUUAAAGAACGUCGGGUACUGUCAGUUCUUGGAUGGGUGACCGCCUGGGAACACCGCGUAACCUUUUUU